GUUUUCAUGAAAAUGGCAAUUGAUUCGAGAUUUAGUCAUAUUUUUUUUGUCACGCUUAAAAAAGCGUCCAUAGAGAGAAACCGGCACGCUUUUAAAGCGUGACAACAGGGUUUUAUUAUUGUGGUAUUUUAAAAGUGUAGCCUUCCUAAAAAAAUAUUUUAAAGAGCUCGUACCCUUCAAAUUAAAAUGUCUGAGUUAUUACUAUCUUUCAAAGUUUAUCUUUCUCCUUCUUCAAAGACCCCUAAGCCCUAACUCUUUCAAACAUUAAGGCCCAACUCGUUCAGAAGAUAACCCUAAGCCCUCUCUUCAUUGUGCCUCACCCUCACCUUAACUCCGCGACGAUGACACUCUGAAGAGCCCCAGCGCUCCACGAAGUACCACAUCACUCCGCAAAGAACGUCGCUGCGCUUGCAACGCCUCCGCCGGCAAUCCCUCUUUCGGCACCCCUAACCCUCAUUCUGCGGUGACUCUCUGGUGGUGACUCCCUCUGCUCACUUGCCGUCGCAAACCCUCCGUCGAUGCUCCCUCUGUCGCCGCCCCCUUCCCUCGCUGGAAACCCUUAACCCCUUCCGUGUCGCUCCCUUCCUCGUGCAGGCCGGGGCCCUUCUAUCGAUGCUUCAUUGCUGGUUUUGAGAGCUGGUUUUUGAUGGAUGUGUCCAAGGAUUGGAUGGAUACACCACGUCAUGAAAAAGAAUAUCAACUUGGUAUAGAAAAAAUUUUAUAUUUUGCUUUUUCAUCAACGGGAGUUCCUCAAGAGGAAGAAAUUCAAUGUCCAUGUGCAAAGUGUUGUAAUAGACUUUGGUUAAGGAGAGAUGAGGUGUAUGACCAUCUAAUAUGCAACGGAUUCAUAAAAGGUUAUAGGCGGUGGUUUAAUCAUGGGGAAUCACUUGUUGCUAUGGAUGUUGACAGUGACACAGAUGGUGAAUAUAACUGUAAUGAUAACAUUGAUGAGUUGUUACGUGAUAGAUUCAGAGAUGCUACACAAGUUGAUGGACAAAACAUGGGGUCUAACGAAGGUGCAAAGGAAUUUUAUAAAUUUGUAGACGAGGCAAGCCAAGAACUAUACCUCGGGUCUCAUCAUUAGAGAAGAAGAUGGAUGGUGUAUGUGGUUUAUUAAAGGUAUUGGUACACCAAGUCAAUCCUGGAAUGAGUGACGAAGAGGUAGCAACCUUAGUGCAAGUUGCCCAAAAUUCUCCUUUGGAUGCCUCAAGUAGCAGACUAAGAAAUACUCCUCACUCCUUUGAAUCAACUCACAUUCCACCCAGAGAUGAUGUAAGGUAGUGGUAAAAACAAUUUCGCUCAAAAUGGAUGAUCAAUAAUCACGAAGUUUCAUAUUUUGUAAUGAAGUGUAAAUGAAGUAGAUAAUGUAACCCAUGUUGAAAUUGUAAUUCAUGUAUUAGGAAUUGCAAAUGGAAUUAUAAUGACUUUGAUUUUUGGUAUUUUGUUAGAGCAUGUCAUGUGAUCAAACACAUUUUUUUUUUGUGACAAGUUUAUGAAGCAAG